UUCGCACCGAGCAGCAGUCGAUGCGUACUUCCGGCGGAAACGCGGCUGGAAGUGGAAGUAGUUUCCCCAGAGUGCCGCACCGCCAUCUUAACCGGUCAGGGGCGUUGACUGAGCGAGUGGUCCUGCAGUGCGGCAGGAGGCGCCGGGCUUGUGGGGGAUCGACCGAAAUAGUCGCAGCCUGGCAGCGGUUUGGGCGCGUCGGAGCUAAAACGGGCUCACGCUCUAGUAGUAAGACACGCCGCCACAGUUCUUCCAUCUUCGGACAUGCCAGAUUUUCUCAAUGACAGACCUUUCAGUAUUAGAGGCUACUGUACGAAUGCAGUUUUCAUAAAUGAACGGAGCACACAGUACCGGCCAAAACAGUCUAUCACGCAGAAUUCUCCUUCUGACGCAUUAGUCACACAGGCAGAGGCGAGUUAGAGCGAAAGGAAUAGACUUUUUGACCCAUCCUAGACCCCAGAACUUUUUUGCGAAACGCAUCAUCGCGUAUCAGUUUUACCAAAUAAUUCCGUGUUAAAUGUGAAAUUGUUUCAGCUGACUUACAGGUAAACAUAUUUCAGAACACACUUCAACGCGUUUAUAAAUUUCGUUGGUUUAAUUUUCGCAUACAUAGUAUAUAAAAAUUGCUGUGUUAAGGAGGUGUAGGACUGGUGGUUUCAAAUGCAUUGAAUGUAUUG